UGCAGACGCCUCUGGCGUUUCCUCCCUUUGACUUCACGGCCGCGCUUAACAGCGCGGCCCUUUUUUUGCGCGAA
rnacentral:sRNA from 1 species